GACAGGCCUCUGCCAGGGUGACUGAGCCUUGUUAAAGACAUGCUGACAGAGUCACAGCUUUGGUGUGACUGAUAUGGAAACAGGGCAGCCAUGCCAGUGGGGGGCACGCCUGGACCCUGAGUGGGGUGACUGCUCCCCAUGCCAGGAGGCUUGGGACGGCUGAAUCAGGCCGUGGCCCUGUGUUUAUGGAGUCCCAGUGACUUCCUGGAUGUCCUCAUCUCUCUGCCUGCUGCGGAGAAAGUCAGGUGGCUGCAUGCCUGCCGAGAACCGUCCCUCUGAGACUCGGACCCUGCUCCCUCUCUGCUCCUCGUUACCUUGGACCCAGGAGGCUGAGAGCUUGGCCCUUGGGAAUCCUCCUCUGCAGACCCCAGGCUUGGGGGCCCCAAGACUGGGGCGAGCUGCCGCGCAGGCAGGUGGACUUUCUUUUCUGUGGCUGGGCUGUGGGGACCUUGAGUGCUAGGCCAGUCAGAGCCACAGGGCUGGAAGCCGCUCUGGGAUUAACCGACCAUCCUGUGUGAUCUUGAGCAAGUCACUUCACCUUCCUGGAAGCCUCCUCUCCUCUGUGGAAGGGGAGAGUAAUAAAUCCAACUGCAUAGGUUGUUGUGAGAUUUAAAUAAGAGAAUGUGGAGAUUUCUGGUCAAGAUGGUGGAGUAGUAGGACCACGAGCUCGCCUCCUCUCAUGAUCACAGCAAAACCACAAGUGGCUGCUAAACAACCAUCAAUUUUAAAAGACUGGAACAUAGCAAAAAAGAUCUUCAACUGGAAACAUAGGGAAUCACA